GCCGGGCGUGGUGGCGGGCGCCUGUAGUCCCAGCUACUCGGAGGCUGAGGCGGGAGAAUGGCGUGAACCCAGGAGGUGGAGCUUGUAGUGAGCCGAGAUCGCGCCACUGCACUCCAGCCUGGGCGACAGAGCCAGACUCCGUCUCAA
rnacentral:SRP_RNA from 1 species